rnacentral:sRNA from 1 species
CGCCUGCGCAAUUAAUAGGACUUACAUCGCCUAAUCCUCUUCAAACUUCCCGAUUCAAGUCCUGGAGCACAACUAUGGAUGCUCUGGGCACAAAUCCUUCACCAUCCUAUCAAGAGAUCAUCAACGUCAGCUCCCGCGCCUAGGUCAGACAGGAUAUUCGACAACCGCCUUCAAUUGUGCUGCCAGCUCUAGCCUUUUUAUCGGGCCUUCCACGACAACAGUAACAAUCCCCUCCUUGCUUUCCCUUCUCAGUCAAUUUAAAAUUGAAGCAACUCGCCGACUAGCUUUUUCUAACAAGCCAUCAGUCACUACUUCUGCAAGUGUAAGAUUCCAAAACAAUGUCGAUACCCUCAUAGAUUUCAAGUGACAAAAUUACGACACCGACCUCCGUUCCACUCUGAUUAACAACCAUCUCGGCCCGGUCGGGACUAGUAUGACCAACGAAAAAAGGGAAUACAGACAAGAACUUUGGGGCUAUCAACUUUGGGAUAUGGCUUCUGAAUGGGCUUCUCGAAUAACAUCGAGCACCGGUCAGGAAGGAUUCGGUUUGUCAGAGAGAAUAAAAGAGUCGAUGUUCGUAGCUUGCAUUGGAGACCUUGAUUGGAGCGACCUUUAUGAGCCUUCUGCAGAGGGAGAAGGACAAGGAUUUAUUUUGAGGAAGGAAAGAUAGGCGCGGGAGCUUUGGAAAAAAGUGAAAUCGAGGUCAAUGGAAAGAGAAAGUGGGAAUCCAAGGGUAGAGGUUGGAAGCUGAAUAAUGUCCGUACUGUCGUAAGAUAGAAGAAUGUAUAAGAUAGGGUAGAACGUGGC